AUUGAACGCUGGCGGUAGGCCUAACACAUGCAAGUCGAGCGGCUGAAGGGUACUUGCUCCUUGAUUCAGCGGCCGACGGGCGAGUAAUUGCUAGGAAUCUGCCUGGUUGUGGGGGAUAACGUCCGGAAACGGGCGCUAAUACCCCAUACGUCCUGAGGGCGAACGUGGGGGAUCUUCGGACCUCACGCUAUCAGAUGAGCCGAGGUCGGAUUAGCUAGUUGGUGGGGUAAAGGCCUACCAAGGCGACGAUCCGUAACUGGUCUGAGAGGAUGAUCAGUCACACUGGAACUGAGACACGGUCCAGACUCCUACGGGAGGCAGCAGUGGGGAAUAUUGGACAAUGGGCGCAAGCCUGAUCCAGCCAUGCCGCGUGUGUGAAGAAGGUCUUCGGAUUGUAAAGCACUUUUAUUGGGGAAGAAAAGCAGUAAGUUAAUACCUUGCUGUUCUGACGGUACCAACAGAAUAAGCACCGGCUAACUUCGUG
rnacentral:rRNA from 1 species